CCCAAAUGCCUUUCACCACAAUCUCCACUAUUAUUGAGAGUAUUCUUAAGCUUGAACUUCUCCACGCUGUGUUGCAGUGAAGUCAAUUCCUUUGAGAUGAGAUUAGAAACUGUUUUAUGGCCUGAUUCUUCUCCCAGGUGAACUUGCUGAGCUGGACUCAGGAACUGGGUGUGGGAACAAUGGAAAGCUUUUCUCUGCAUGACCACCCUACUCUAGGGGCUGUGCAUUCAGUGAUGGGAGGGGAGGAAACAGCCAGAGAUCCUCUCAGCUUGCCUGUCCUGUCACGGAACCACUGCCUCAUGAACCUAUGGGAAGUGCAUUCAGGACCCCAGUAUUUUCAGUACUCCAUCUCUCAUUAGCAAUCACCUGAAAUUUAGCCUCAGCAACGGAUAGCUAGGGCAGAAUGAGAAGUGUGGAAGACCUCCAGGGACUGAAGCUGCAGCAGCCUCAUGUUCUUGACUACAGCAGUUUGGAGUAGAGUCUCUACCUUGUUGAACUGAAUCAGCUACAAAACAUAAAAUACAUCUCAAAAAGAAAGAAAAAAACCCACAAGGUUUGGCAAAAGAAAGAAGAAAAAUAAAACUGAGUCCUCUGUCUUGCCUCAUCGCCUGGACUGGUCUUUGGACUCAAGCCAGGACUGACACCACCAUCAACCCCUUCUCUGCUACACAGGACUUCUGACUCAGACUAAAUUACAUUGUCAGCUUUCCUGUUUCUCCAGCUUCAAUAUGGCAUGUUAUAGGAUACCUCAGCCUCCAUAAUUAUACUGAGUCAACCAGAAUCCAUAUCAUAAGCUGGACAUUUAUGUUACCCAUAGGAAUUCCUGUUAUGCAUCCUCUUAUGUUUGAAUGAAAUAGAUAAGCUACCAGAAGACUCUGAUGUAGGGGAUGACAGAGCCAACAGAUGCCUCCCUCAACCUAGUGAUUUACAUCCAUCACAUAAUCAAGAAAUAAGCUGUAUUAGUCCAUUUUCACACUGCUAUAAGAACUACCUGGGACUGGGUAAUUUAUAAAGAGAAGAGGUUUAAUUGACUCACAGUUCUGCAUGGCUGGGGAGGCCUCAGGAAACUUACAAUCAUGGCAGAAGGAGAAGCAGGCACAUCUUACAUGGUGGCAGGCAAGAGAAAGCAAGCAAGAGCAGAGAAAACCGCUUUAUAAAACCAUCAGAUCUCAUGAUAACUCACUCACCAUCACAAGAACAGCAUGGGAAAAGCCACCACCAUGAUCCAGCCACUUCCCACCUGGUCCCUCCCUUGACACGUGGAGAUUAUGGGGAUCAUAAUUUGAGAUGAGAUUUGGGUAGGGACACAGAGUUAAAUCAUAUCACAAGCUUUUGUUGUAUUAAGUAACUGAAAUUUUAGGAUUUUCUAUUUAUAUCACUUACCCUACCUUGAUUAAUAUAGUCAAUUUUGCAUCACUUAAGAAUCAUAAGCUUUUACCUACUCUGAUUUACAAACAAAUCUUGGUAAAUCAAUAUGUAUUAAUGUGCUAUUUUACAUACAAGAUUGAUCAAAUUUACACAUUUAAUAAAUGCCAGGUUCAAAAUUUGUACCCAAGUUUUUCUGAUUCCAAAUCCCCACAUUCUUUUUACUGCCCCACAUCACACAACUCCCAUACUUAUUUCAAUGGAAGAAGAAUUGAAAAGUGAGUUAAGUGUUGAUUUUUGCCAAACUAAGAUAACUAGAAAGAUUUUCUAGUUUUCAGCAUUAAGCUCUGAAUAAUAAGCCACCUAAAAAUAAAAUGCAAUCUUUAACAGAGCUGCACAUCUGUGAAUUAAAAGCACCAAUUUUUCUAUUCUCUUCACAUUAACACAAUUCAGUAUUUAUAGUCUCAUAUUUGGUUUACUUCUAUCAUAUAAAACCAGAUAAUAGCCAGUAAUGAAACGUCAUUUUCAUAGCUCUGAAGCAAACAGCAAAUAUCUCUAUUUUCAAUAUUUUAUGCUUAUGAUAUUUAGCAGAGGCUAUUUCAUUCAUUAAAGGGUACUCAUGUAUUAACAUAAAACAAAGUAAGGAGUACCACUCUCUCUUUCCAUGUAGAUGCAAUAUAGCAAAUCCAUUAAAAUGAGUGAUUUUUCUCCUUUAGCUUCUUAUGAACAUUUUAUAGUCAUUAGCACAUACUCUGAGUGCAUUGAAUAUUCUCUUCAAUACAUCUCUUUUCCUUGAGGUAUACUAUAUUAUUAACAAUGGUAAAACAUCUUUUUUUCUGUUCUCUUCUUUUUUAAAAAAAUUUUUUAAAUUAUACUUUAAGUUCUUGGAUACAUGUGCAGAACGCGCAGGUUUGUUACAUAGGUAUACACGUGCCGUGGUGGUUUGCUGCACCCAUUAACCUGUCAUCUACAUUAAGUAUUUCUCCUAGUGCUAUCCUUCCCCUAGGCCCCACGCCCUAACAGGCCCUGGUGUUUGAUGUUCCCCUCCCUGUGUCCAUGUG
rnacentral:lncRNA from 10 species